UCGCUUCGUACCUCAGGGAGUGUACGAAUUCAAUCAAAGAAACGAAGGGAAGGGAGAGAGGGGGAGAGAGCUGCACCGAGUUCCGCGCUCUCUCUCAUUACACCUCCUACAUCAUCAGCACACGCAAAUCAUCCGUUCCAUCUCGCUUUUCGCACACGCUGGCACCCUUCUACCCAUCCACCACCACCACCACCCUGUCGCUGCCUAUCCCUGCGCUUCCUCCGUAGGUAAGGUUCACCGCUGCGUCAAACUGCGGCGCUGCCACUUCUGCCGCACAUACAGGGCCCUCCCCACGUGACUGCCUGGGCGUGACCUCGACGGAGGGGGCAGGGCCGCGAAGUCUUGCCCAGAAAACCGAAGCGAACGGAGGCGAGAGCGAGCGAGAGGUGCUAGCAUAGACACGAGCGCGGGCGCACACCGGCAGACGGCGAGAGCGAACAGGAAAGGCGGCGGCCAUUACUUUGUUCCCGUCGCUCUUCGCACGCUCCUCUUCUGCUGCCUAGAGAGAGACCCGCGAAGAAAAGAGGGAGGGCCGCGGUCCAGAGGCGUCAGACCUGCAUCGGUAUUGCUUUUUCUAUAGACAUACACACACGUGCACACACGCACAAUGCCGCCGAGGAGGCGCAGCGCUCGUAAAGCCGGCAGCGCGGCGACGAAGCGGCAUGCCGACGGGGCGCCAGUACGUGUGAAGAAAGAGCUCAGAGACGAGGAGGCGGAGGCGGCGGACGACGUGCACGCAGAGGAGAAGCAUGUGGCGAUGGUGACCGAACAGUCACAUCGAGAAGAAGAGUGUAGACAAGCGGAGGACCGGCUUGAGGACGCCGGCGAGGUCAAUGGCGAAGCCGCACCAGGGUCUCGCGAAGGCUCGCAAGAAGCGCGCGAGGACGAGGCAGCCCAGAGGGAGGAAAGACAUGGUGCCCAAGACGGCGGUGGAAGGGAUGGCAGCACCUCGUCCUCGUCCUCGUCCUCUUCCUCGGCCGCACGACUGUCGACCUACACACCACCGCGCCUCCCGUCGACUCGGACGAGCGGGACGGAGCUGGAGCUCAUUCAACCCGCCAUGACAACCACGCAUCCGUCGCCUCAGGCGUCUGCGCGAUGCGACAGCGACGCUGGCGACCUCACGCCCCACUCGCGCCUCGUCAUCCGCGACAUUGACGUGGAGAACUUCAAGUCCUACUACGGCACCCACCGUAUCGGGCCGUUCCACAAGACGUUCACGGCGGUGAUCGGCCCGAACGGGUCUGGCAAGUCGAACGUCAUUGACUCCAUGCUUUUUGUCUUCGGCCGGAAUGCGAAGAAGAUCCGGCUGGAGAAACUGGCGGAGGUGAUCCACAACUCCGCCGCUCACCCGCGCCUGUCCUACGCAUCCGUGACCGUGAACUUCAUUCGCCUGCUAGAGACCGCCGCCGAGGAGAAGGACUCGGAGCAGCGGCAGGAGGUCGCCGGCAGCGGGCUGAGCAUCAAGCGGGAGGUGUUUCGCACCGGCGCGUCUCAGUACUACAUCGACGGGGUCCGCCGCACGCAGAAAGAGGUUAUGGAGUGCCUCAUCAGCCAAGGCGUCGACCUGGACCACAAUCGCUUCCUGAUUCUGCAAGGCGAGGUGGAGCAGAUCGCGCUCAUGAAGCCCAAGGCAGAGAAGGAAGGCGAGGAGGGCCUGCUGGAGUACCUCGAUGACCUCAUCGGCACCGGCCAGUUUGUGGGCCGAAUUUCGGACAUGACGGCCGCCGCCGAGACGGCGCAGCUCGCCCGGCUCGAGGCGCUGGACAAAGAACGUAAGCUCAAGGCGGAGCGCGAGGCGCUGGACGAGGCCAAGAACUCAACGCUGUCCUUUGUCACGAAGGACAACCAACUCCAGAAGACGCUCAUCGUCAUGUGCCAGCUGCGCAUGCGCGGCAUUGAAGAGAGACUGGAGGAGCCGCGGCGGCUUUUGACGGAGAUCGACGAGCGCAUCAGGUCGAUGGAGGAAGAGGUUGUUCACCGGCGGGAGGAAAAAGCGCAGGCCGAGGAGGCGUUUGCCACGGCGAAGAAGCACGUCGCCGAGGCGCAGCGGGUCCGCGACGCGGUCCGGGCUCGCCGGCAAUCGGCCGAGGCUCACCUGGAACAGGUUAAGUCCGGUGCCGAUCAGGAGGAGAAGGCGCGUAAGAAAGUGGCAGACCAGCUGCGCAAGGCCAAGGAGGAGCUGCAGCGGGCGGUUGUUCAUCAGCAGGACGCCGAGCGUGAGGCGGCGAUUCACCAGCAGAACCACAACGAGGCAGUCGAGGCCGUAGCGACACUGCAGCUAGAGCACGACACGCUCGCUGAGGAGCUGCUGCCAAGGCUGCGCCCCCUUCGCCAGCAGUUGGAGGAGAAGAAAAAGCAUCGUGCCCCAUACGAGCGCGCCGUGACGGAGGCCAAGGAGCAGCUGCGCACCGUGCAAAGCCGGCUUGGUGGGCUGGCGGAUAGCGCCGCAAAAAAGGAGCAGCAGGUGAACGACUUGGCGGCGUUGAUGGCGCGCAACACGGCUCGCGUGGCGGAGCUGGAGCGGCUGCUUCGCGAUUCCGACCGCAAGGACUUGCAGGAGGAGGUACUUCGGGUGCAGGAUCAAAUCGGCGAGAGCGCGCGCCGUAAGUAUGCCAUCAACAACUCCAUCCAAGAGCUGAAGAACGCCUACCGCGACGGCGAGGCUGACGACCGCGCGAUGGAGUUCUUGCUGGCCCAGCGCUCCCUCAAGGGCUACUAUGGCACGCUGCGCCAGCUCGGCCGUAUCGACGACCAGUAUGACAUCGCAGCCGGCGUUGCCAGCAGCGCAUGGGGCUUCCACGUUGUCGAGGACCGCCAGACAGCGACGGAGGCGCUGAUGCUGCUCAAGCAGAACAACAUCGGCCGUGCCACAAUGAUGGUGGUGAGCGAGGUGGAGCGGGAAGUGGGGUCGCGAAUGGCGAAGCCGUUCCAGUGCCCGAAUCCGAAGGCGCGCCGCCUCUUCGACCUCAUCCAGCCGACCAACCCAAAGUUCCGCUCCGUCUUCUACCAAGCCGUGCGUGACACCCUUGUCGUUGAGACACUGACAGAGGCGCGCGAAACGGCCUUCGGCGGCGGCGGCGGCGGCGGCGGCGGACGCGACGCGAUGGCCACAGGGACCCCAUCCUUGUCCACAGGGGGCGCAGCGAGCCAGCAGCGGUAUCGCGUCGUCACCGUCAAAGGCGAGCUGGUCGAGCCGAGCGGCACGAUUACGGGCGGCGGGGCGGCACCCCGCGGCGCGAAGCUGAAGGCCGCUCGCUCGCCACAAGACAAACAGUCCAUCAAGGAGGAACUGCAGCGCCUGCAGCAGGACCUGGUUCAGGCCGCCGAGGAGGAGCGUGCGCUGAACGUACGAUUGCACCAGCUGCACGAGCAGGAGUCUCACGUAUACCCAGAGCAGCGACGCAAGCUGCGGCACGAACUGACCACUCUCGUCGCGAAGGCCGACGCUGAUGCUGCGCGUCUUGCAUCGCUGCACAGCGAGCUUGCCCAGUCCACGCAGGAACUGGAGGUUAACCGAGAGCGGCACGAGCAAGCUGUGCGCGACUGCGAGACAGCGCUGCAGAAGGCGGAGAAGGCCUACAUUACCCACCACGCGGACGUCGAGGCGUUGGAGGCGCAGGUGGAUGAGGCAGGCGGUGCGCGCUUUAAGGCAGUGGCUGCGUCUCUCACGGCGCAGCAGGAGCGCGCCGACGCCGAGGAGGCGAGCCUGCGGGCGUGCCGCAGACAAGCACAGAAACACCGAGCUACGCAAGAGCGCAAGGCCGCCGACAUAGCCGACUACGAGCAGCAACUGGAGAAGCUCAAAGAAGAAGCGCAGGACAACGUAGAGGCGCAGGUGAGGGCGUGUGUGGAGGUGCUGGAGGGGCUCGUGAGGGAGCUAAACGGUGCUGAGGCACAGCUGGCGAAGGCGCAGACGGCCGCUGAGGACGCGCGCGCCGCUGUGCCGGUGGCCAACGGCGCUGCUCUGAAUGCCCAGAAGAAGCUGGACGAUGAGCAGCGCUAUCGGCAGACGGAGGCUGCUAAGAUCGCGGACGCGCUGCAGGAGUUGUCGAAGUUUCAGCAGAAAAUCGAAGGCUGCGAGGAGAAGAUCCGCGAGAACGUCGAGCUGUAUGGCAAGGAAACGCUCGGACAGGGCGACGCCGAGGAUGAAGAGGGCCAGACCGCUGAGGUGGAUGACGAGGACGGUGACGAUGACGACGAAGACGACGGUGAGGAUGAGAGCAAACCAGUGCACGGUCAGAAGCGUGCUCGUGCGCGUCCUGGUCGCCGUGGCGAUGACGCUGCGUUGCACGCGUCGUCCGCCCGCGGCUCCUCUGCACUCGUGUCGUCGCCGCCGGCCAAGCGAGCGCAUGUGGAGCGGCGUCACGCGACGUUCCGGCUCACUCCAGAGGAGCUGGAUGGCUGCGACUAUGACCGCUCGGUGCACCUCGCCAAAGCCCUCAGCGAGGAGACAAAACGGCUGCACAGCGAGAUCGACUUCCGAGCCGUUGCUCUGUGGCGUGAGCGCGACGUCGCGCAUCGUGAAGCGAAGGCCAUUUACGAAGCGAAGAAGCUUCUCUCCGACGAGGCGGAGCGCGAGCUGCAGACGCUCAAGGACACGCGCCGCCAGGCCUUCAUGCACACCUUCGAGCACAUCCGACAGCGACUCAAGGAGGUGUAUCAGCUUCUCACGCACGGCGGCGACGCCGACAUGGAGCUGGUCGAUGUGAAUGACCCGUUUGAGGGCAUCAACUUUGUGGUGCGCCCACCGAAGAAGUCGUGGAAGCAAAUCUCGAACCUGUCCGGCGGCGAGAAAACGUUGUCUAGCCUCGCUCUCAUCUUCUCUCUGCACCACAUCAAGCCCACGCCGAUCUACGUGAUGGACGAGAUCGACGCGGCGCUCGACUUCCGCAACGUGUCCAUUGUGGCGAACUACGUGCUGCGCCAGGCCCGCGGUGCGCAGUUCAUCAUCAUCUCCCUCCGCAACAACAUGUUUGAGGAGGCUCACCAGCUGGUCGGCGUGUGCAAGGUGAACGACACUACCUCCACGCUCGUGCUGAUGCCGCGCAGCUUCCGGCGACUGGUCGGCAUACAACUCGCUGAGGCAGCAUCGGAGCAGCGGCGGAAACGUAGUGAGCGCCGUCACAGUCGCCACAAGCUCGGAGAAGCAGGGGUAGCGGGAAACGCCGAUGGCGGCGACGUGGACGUUCACGCACGCAGCCCGCGCACCUCCGUUGCCCAUCAGUCGCACACGCCGUCCAGCGGGGCUCGGCCGACCGUCGGUGACGCGUCCCCAAUGUCGACCUCCACAUGGCCCCGCUCCUCUGGUGACAUCGACGGCACGCGCGACUCGCGCAAGAGCGUUCGCUUUGCUGGCCUCAGCAGCGUGGCAGCGGUGGCAGCGGUGGCAGCGGACGAUAAUGCGUACGCGGUGCCAUAGACGCGCGUCUGUCAUCGCGGCUGGCAAUCCCUUAAUCUCGCUCAUAGAAGGGUAACGGAGAGAGGUAUGGCGCAUGCAGGUGUGCGCGCGCGCGCGCGGAUGCGCGUAUAAAUGUGUCUCUCUUUCAAUAUAUAUAUAUAUAUAUAUAUAUAUAUAUAUAUGUGUGUGUGUGUUGUGCGUGCUUGUAGAUCUUCAACUUCCUUUCGCGUGUGUUUCGGUUGUUUUGUAAACGUGCAUCCGUUUCUCUGCCACACAGCGCGGGGUCCAACGCCCCACGCUGCCACCCACGGCCCUGUCACACAGGCCCCACCUCGCGUGGGACCAUGGCAGCCGUCGACACACGCCGGUCCAGCAAGGCGCCGAUGCAGUCCCCCGAGAGCACGGCCCCUGCCUCGCACUCUGCCCGCUGCGCAGGUGGCGUCGACGCAGCGCCACGCAGGGCCUUGACCGACAACAUCAGUAGCGCUGAAUUGCUCUGACCUCGCUGCGUCGCGGGCACCGGGCCCUGCCACCACCACCAGGAGUGGCUCGGCAUUGGGGAGGGUGAGGUGGGGGCUGCUGGGCUUCCUCCCUCACACACGCAGAGAGUCGGGAGUGGAGGGGAGGGGGGGGUGCGGUGGGGCUGGACCCUCUGAUGCCACGCACUGAGCGGUGGGUGUCUGCGUGCUUCCCCCCCCCCUUGUCAUCAGAGAUCCUUUUCAGGUGAAGAAAGAAUGCAAAGCAUGCGCCGAAGAGGCGAGGCCACUGCUGCGAAGAGAGUGCGGGCGUGAGACGCGGAUGGGGCUGCUGUGCCUGUCGUUCCCUCUCUCUGCCGCCAAGACGGCUCACAGAAUAGCCCGGUGAGCCGAAAGCAGAAGGAAAGGAGGAAGGCCCUCGGCAUGUCGAUCUCGCGUGCUUCUUUGUGGGGAUGGGGCGUCACUGAAGGAGCUCUGCUGGCGAUGGCUUUCGGCUUUGGGGUGGUGAAGGAAUGAGUGUGCGAGAGUGUGUAGGCGAGGGAGGCGCGGGUGAUCACGACAGCCCCCUCGCGCCCGUGCACUUCUCCUUCCAUACUCUACCACCAACACCACCUCCGUUUUCUUUGUGCGUGGUCGCGCGAACAGGCACGUUCGCUGUCAUAGUGGAGCAGCAGUAGCGGGAGCGCAGUGGUCCCCCACCCCGCCGUCCUCGGUACUGUUGUCAGGGAUUCGUUUCACCGAUGACGCACGCGUUCUCGUAUCUGCCUCCCUCCUCAUCAGUAUCACCACCACCAUCACCCCUCCCGCCGCCUUUCCCCUUUCACCUCAUGGGUUACGCGUAUACCUGCAUGCACAUGGUCCCCUAUGUCAG
rnacentral:misc_RNA from 1 species